AACCUGUCUCCUUGAUCAUAGGUCGAUGCUCAACUACUGAGCCAUGCUCACCCGGGCCUCAAAAUAAUUUGUUUUAGAAGAAUUUUUACCUUUUCCCUCUAACUAAAAUACUCAGGACACUUUUAACAAUACAAAAAACGUAUGUUUUAUGGUAUGUAGUAGAGGCAGUGAAAUGUAAUGUUUUCUGAUUUGUUCUAUGUCUGAAAACAAAUACUGUACUUUACUUGGACUUUAUCAUCAUUUUGUAGCAGGACUCUAGGUGGCUAGGUAGAAAUAAAAUCUGUGAAAUGAAACAAAGGAAUCACAUACCUGAAAAUUUAGGCCAAGUAGUUGAGAUAAGAAAUGUGGGAGAUAAGCCAGAUAUUCAAGUAUGUAACUUCCUUCCCUUAGUUAUGAUGACAUCAUUAGAAACUGGGCUUCAUCAAGUGUUUCUUCAUAGCAUCAUAGUUCAGUCAUAUUCAACAUGAAUUUUAUCAUCUCCUAGAUGGAAGGUCCUCCUUAUCAAAUGUUCAACACAAACUCAUCUGUGUUUUCACAUGGGGAGGGACUCUUCUGAAGAAUCUUUCCGUUUAGUGAUCAAGAUAUGGAAGCUGAACUCUUGAAAAUACUCAUGUGUAUUCUAAUUGUUUGUGGUAUAAUUUGAAUUGUAACUUGCAUUUUAGCAGCAAUGUUCCCAACAAACAUACUGAGAAAACAUAAUAAAGUACGCCUCUUGUUACUAUGUUGUCUCCUGAUUUUUUCUUUGCCUGGUUAUGUUGAGUUUUAAGUUAUACACCAUUUCUUACCUGAUGUUCCCUAGGUGCUGUUUCACUGAUGUUCACAGAUGUUUCAGAAGUAUUCUGUGCCAAAAUAUGAUUGGGAACUGGCGGAUUAAAGUUAAAUAUUUAGAAGUUCUCGGAAGACCUCU